GCCCGCCUAGCUCAAUCGGCCAGAGCGUCAGACUUUUAAGAAGGCGGUGAUCUUCUGAGUUAUCUGAAGGCUGCGAGUUCGACCCUCGCGGUGGGCU
rfam:Termitomyces sp. J132 unplaced genomic scaffold scaffold86, whole genome shotgun sequence.